rnacentral:misc_RNA from 1 species
AAAGAAGAGAUCCAGAUUCUCCGUAAAAAAAUUGCAGCUGCUUAUGUUAGGGAGCUGCAACUGCUGAAUGAAAAAUAUGUGUUGGAAAGGAAGUUUUCUGAUGAUUUGAGAAUGGCAAUUGAUGAGAAGCAAAAUGAAGCUAUUACAUCUGCCUUGAAUGAAUUGGUUCGCAGAAAAGGCGAUCUUGAAGAAAACUUAAAAUUGGCCCAUGAUUUGAAGGUUGU